CGUUCAGAUUUUUCCUUGUUUCGGUAAUUUACAUGAGGUUUCUCUGAUUAAAGAUUAUGACUGUGUCUUGUCUAUCAUGCAUUUAACUUAAUACAUAGUUAACCUCUGUAAAGGUUAAGGGGGGGAAUAUAAAAUUGUGGCUGCUUAACAACCUUUUAGGUAUAAGCCUCGGAUAUAUAUGUCUGUUUCGUGAACAUUUCCUAAUUGGCAAGUAGUAUCAUACAUGUCUAUUGGACUAAGGCAUGCCGUUUUCCUUCACGAUAAAAGCGAGUAAAGGUUCACAUAGAAAGUAAAUUAGUGCAACCCCAGGAUCGAACUGACGACUUUAGGAAAGGAAGGAAUAAAAUCAUGAAGUGUUCCGUACAAGAAAAUAUACGACGUCAAAAUUGAAUACAAAUCGUCUAAUGAAACCGUAUUCAACGAAUUUUCAAUAACUUUGGACAAUAUAAAUAAUUAUAUCGCGAAAGAUUUAAUUCAAUCUGAGCCAAAAUUAAAUAGAAAUAUUAUUAACACAAAUAAGUAUAAUGAAAUAUCACCUUAUAUACAAAGAUAUCGCAACAACGAUGAAAUAAAGCACGAAUUAGAUAACUUUGUAAUGCAACGAAAACAAUCGCAUCUAACCACUGUUGGAUUUAAUUUUAAAGUACCAAAUUCAAACCAAGAAUACGCUUUUGUUAAAAAUAAAGAAGAGAAGAGGGAUAUAAAAGGAAUGAAUAGAUUUAAAGAUACAAAAUACUUAAAUGAGAAAUUUGCGAAAAAGUAUAUUCGCGAAUUGGAAACCAACAAAAUUAGUCAAGAAGUGAAUUUAAAUAUCUUUCAACGUCCAGAAAUGGAAGAAGUGUUGAAAAAGCAGAACUUUUUGGUUAAUAGAUUAAUGAAUAUGUUAAAAGAAGAAAAGAAAACGCUAAGGACAAACUUCAAUACUCUGUUAGAGGAAAUGGAUAAACUGAAGAAUGAAAACAGUACUCACAAACAGGAAGUGAUUCAAGGUUCCAUGAAGCCAGCAACAGUUGUAAAUAUAGAUGAGACAAUGGUCCGAGAAGCACUCAAAAAAGACCCCUUCGUGAGAAGAGUUUUGCAGAUGGGGAAGAGUAAGAGAGACGCUUAUAAAAAGGAAGCCAAAAUUUUCAAUAAAGGAUAGAUAUUUUUGUGUUAAACCAGUAAAACUUAUCGAUAUAUAAUACUUGAGAAAAGUAAAUGAUAAACAAACCUUAA